AGUGGCGGACGGGUGAGUAAUGCAUCGGGAUCUACCUCAACGUGGGGGAUAACGUAGGGAAACUUACGCUAAUACAGCAUACGUCCUAAGGGAGAAAGCGGGGGACCGUAAGGCCUCGCGCGGUGAGACGAACCGAUGUUCGAUUAGCUAGUUGGUAGGGUAAUGGCCUACCAAGGCGACGAUCGAUAGCUGGUCUGAGAGGAUGAUCAGCCACACUGGAACUGAGACACGGUCCAGACUCCUACGGGAGGCAGCAGUGGGGAAUAUUGGACAAUGGGCGCAAGCCUGAUCCAGCAAUGCCGCGUGUGUGAAGAAGGCCUUCGGGUUGUAAAGCACUUUUAUCAGGAGCGAAAUACUACCGGUUAAUAACCGGUGGGGCUGACGGUACCUGAGGAAUAAGCACCGGCUAACUUCGCGCCAGCAGCCGCGGUAAUACGAAGGGUGCAAGCGUUAAUCGGAAUUACUGGGCGUAAAGGGUGCGUAGGCGGUUGUUUAAGUCUGUCGUGAAAUCCCCGGGCUCAACCUGGGAAUGGCGAUGGA
rnacentral:rRNA from 1 species